CGCCCACACCAGACAAGAACUAAAAAGAGGCAAGCACAAUGCAUUCCCAAGGCGAACCAUCACCAUGAUUCAUAGGAUAGGUAAACAACGCAUUAAGUGGAUUGUCCCGUUA